GGAGAGGUAACUUUUUCAGUGGUCCUUAGCCAGUUGUUUUAAUGGAGAAUUUCAUUAUGAGAAAAAAAAGGGAUGAAUCACAGGGCAUGAGUCCAAUUUAAAGGGACACUAGCAGUCUUUCAUUGAUAUCUAAUUUAUUUACUUAUAGCAUAAUUGUACUGGCAGGACCAUUGUUAAAUCUGCUUUUACUAAUUACAAUUAUA
rnacentral:misc_RNA from 1 species